rnacentral:rRNA from 1 species
GAAGCGGUAACAGCUCAAAUUUGAAAUCUGGCUCUUGCGGAGUCCGAGUUGUAAUUUGUAGAAGAUGCUUUGGGUUGUGGGUUCGGCCUAAGUUCCUUGGAACAGGACGUCAUAGAGGGUGAGAAUCCCGUAUGUGGCCGAGGCCCGCGCCUAUGUAAAGCUCUUUCAACGAGUCGAGUUGUUUGGGAAUGCAGCUCAAAAUGGGUGGUAAAUUUCAUCUAAAGCUAAAUAUGGGCCAGAGACCGAUAGCGCACAAGUAGAGUGAUCGAAAGAUGAAAAGCACUUUGGAAAGAGAGUUAAACAGUACGUGAAAUUGUUGAAAGGGAAGCGCUUGCAACCAGACUUGGGCGCUGCCGAUCACCUUGAGUUUUCUCGAGUGCACUCGACAGCGCACAGGCCAGCAUCGGUUCGGGUGGCUGGAUAAAGGCCGUAGGAAUGUGGCUCUCUUCGGGGAGUGUUAUAGCCUACGGUGCCAUGCAGCCCAGCCGGACCGAGGACCGCGCCUUCGGGCUAGGAUGCUGGCGUAAUGGUUGUAAGCGACCCGUCUUGAAACACGGACCAAGGAGUCUAACAUCUAUGCGAGUGUUUGGGUGGUAAACCCAUACGCGGAAUGAAAGUGAACGUAGGUGAGAACCCCUUUGGGGCGCAUCAUCGACCGAUCCUGAUGUCUUCGGAUGGAUUUGAGUAAGAGCAUAGCUGUUGGGACCCGAAAGAUGGUGAACUAUGCCUGAAUAGGGUGAAGCCAGAGGAAACUCUGGUGGAGGCUCGCAGCGGUUCUGACGUGCAAAUCGAUCGUCAAAUUUGGGCAUAGGGGCGAAAGACUAAUCGAACCAUCUAGUAGCUGGUUCCUGCG